rnacentral:rRNA from 1 species
CCCUUAGACGUUCUGGGCCGCACGCGCGCUACACUGACGGAGCCAGCGAGUAUAAACCUUGGCCGAGAGGUCUGGGAAAUCUUGUGAAACUCCGUCGUGCUGGGGAUAGAGCAUUGUAAUUAUUGCUCUUCAACGAGGAAUUCCUAGUAAGCGCGAGUCAUCAGCUUGCGUUGAUUACGUCCCUGCCCUUUGUACACACCGCCCGUCGCUACUACCGAUUGAAUGGCUUAGUGAGGCUUCCGGAUUGGUUUAGAGAAGGGGGCAACUCCAUCUUGGAACCGAGAAGCUAGUCAAACUUGGUCAUUUAGAGGAAGUAAAAGUCGUAACA